UAACCUCUUCAGGCUGGCUGGCUGGCUCCUAAGGUGGGCAAGUAUCUCUUCAAAAGGCUCAGCCUCAAGCAUGACUAGGAGC
rnacentral:pre_miRNA from 1 species